rnacentral:rRNA from 1 species
CCUACGGGAGGCAGCAGCCGUGGUAAGACGGAGGAUGCAAGUGUUAUCCGGAAUCACUGGGCGUAAAGCGUCUGUAGGUGGUCAAAUAAGUCAACUGUUAAAUCUUGAAGCUCAACUUCAAAAUCGCAGUCGAAACUAUUAGACUAGAGUAUAGUAGGGGUAAAGGGAAUUUCCAGUGGAGCGGUGAAAUGCGUAGAUAUUGGAAAGAACACCGAUGGCGAAGGCACUUUACUGGGCUAUUACUAACACUCAGAGACGAAAGCUAGGGUAGCAAAUGGGAUUAGAUACCCCAGUAGUCCUAGCUGUAAACAAUGGAUACUAGAUGUUGGACAGAUCGACCUGUGCAGUAUCAAAGCUAACGCGUUAAGUAUCCCGCCUGGGAAGUAUGCUCGCAAGAGUGAAACUCAAAUGAAUUGACGG